CUGCCUACAAACAGACAUGACACAGACACCCUGUAUUUUUCCUCACUACUACACAUCAGCCCUUGCGAGCACAACGCUAUGUUCAGCAGGGCGGACAGCAAAGCUAACAGUGUUCUUUUUUUUAACAUGGACUUCAUAUAUGCCUGAUUUUUAGGAGCUCGUCACAACGGGACAGCAUACAUUUCACAUUAACAAGGAUCACAAGCCUAUAUAGGACAAACUACACCUCUAAAAAACACAGGGGUCAAUAAGGUGUCCAGAAAUACCUACAGCAGCUGGAGCAAUAACACCAAGCCUUACAUUAGCUGAUAGUCUGUGGAACCCAGGACGACCAGAUACCUGCAUCUCUACCAGUUUCUGUGCACUCCAGCCUCUUCUGAGAGGGUGUUUUUUUUUUUUUUUUUUAAGGCAGGAGAAGUUACUCCAUGAAAACAAGCAGAC
ensembl:lncRNA